UUUUUUUUUAAUAGGUGCUCAUUAUUUGUCAACAAUACAGUAACAAGAACCACAUGCAUUGCGAAGUCUUUGCGAAGCUGCUGCUUGUAGUAUACUAGCAUGGCUACCAUAUGUGCCAAAUGUUUAGAGAUUGUGCCGAAUGUUCAUCUUUUGUCCUGAGGGGAAAUCAGAAUGCUUGGAACCAGGGAACAGAUAAAAUGCAGGGUUUAAAUCCAAGGGAAUUCUUUUGGCUGACCCAAUCACAAGGAAAAAACAUCAAGAAAAAAUGUCCUCAGUUACUCGAAUAUAUGUUGUUAUCUUUAUUUAUUUAUAAAGUUUAGAAUUUCCUCAAAGCUAGACACAUUAUACAUUCAAAUGGCCUGAUGGUCCGAAUCUUGCACAAUAGAGAUCUUUAAAAACAUAAGUACACAAUUUGACUCCAUAUUUUUUUUUUAAUUUUUUUUUUUGUUGUUGUGCAGAAGUGUACACAGCUUUGUCAGACGCCACAACAGCGUAAUCAUAUAUGAUCUCAUGUAAUCAAGUUAAACAGUGGCAUAUUAAAAUUGCACAUUUUUUUGUUCUUUGAGCUUGCUUAACAUAGCUAAUACGUUUCUAAGAAUAAUGUAAUUAGAUAAAACAUUGAGUAUUCAUAUAGAGAUAGAGUGUGAUAUAUCUUAGGCGGUGAGUGAGGCAGUGUAACAUUGGCUUAAAGAGGGUUUUUUGUUUUUUUUUCCUAUUGUUUAGAUCCCGCCAGAAUAACCAGUUCUGAGCAGGCUGCUAGGCAUAUAGAAGAGAUUUAAACAGAAAAAUAUUGAUGCACAAAAAUUAACGUUAGUAUUUCACUAGAACCUGACAAGCUAUAAGGAGGCACAAGUCCUUGUGUAUGUACACGUGUACCGCGCUCGGGGACAUGUGGCACUGUCAGCCAAUGCCUCGGCUUGGUAUGGUCGUGUGGCUCCUGGGCGCCAUCGGAUGCGUCCGGGUGUGUUCCUGCAAAGACUGUAAGCGUAGGUCGGACUUGCCAUCCCAUGUGCUCCAGGUUGCAUUGUGGGCCUGAGUCAGUGCGCCCAAGACCCAGUGUCUCCAGAUGGAACGUGAGACCAGUGCCCCUGAGGGCCACCUGGGUCUGUGGUGGGUUGCUUGUAUCCUCCUGCUGCGGUUCCGUGCGUGAGCUGGUGGCCCUUCGCUACGGCUCAG